AGCUAAUACAUGCUAAAAACCUCGACUUCGGAAGGGGUGUAUUUAUUAGAUAAAAAACCAAUGCCCUUCGGGGCUCCUUGGUGAUUCAUAAUAACUUAACGAAUCGCAUGGCCUUGCGCCGGCGAUGGUUCAUUCAAAUUUCUGCCCUAUCAACUUUCGAUUGUAAGAUAGAGGCUUACAAUGGUCUUAACGGGUAACGGGGAAUUAGGGUUCGACUCCGGAGAGGGAGCCUGAGAAACGGCUACCACAUCCAAGGAAGGCAGCAGGCGCGCAAAUUACCCAAUCCCGAUACGGGGAGGUAGUGACAAUAAAUACUGAUACGGGGCUCUUUCGGGUCUCGUAAUUGGAAUGAGUACAAUCUAAAUCCCUUAACGAGGAACAAUUGGAGGGCAAGUCUGGUGCCAGCAGCCGCGGUAAUUCCAGCUCCAAUAGCGUAUAUUAAAGUUGUUGCCGUUAAAAAGCUCGUAGUUGAACCUUGGACCUGGCCGAUCUGUCCUCCUAAUCGAGCGCACGGAUUCGGUCGGGUCUUUCCUUCUGGGGAGCCCUAUGCCCUUCACUGGGUGUAGUGGGGAACCAGGACUUUUACCUUGAAAAAAUUAGAGUGUUCAAAGCAGGCCUUUGCUCGAAUACAUUAGCAUGGAAUAAUAGAAUAGGACAUCGGUUCUAUUUUGUUGGUUUCUAGGACCGCUGUAAUGAUUAAUAGGGAUAGUCGGGGGCGUCUGUAUUCAAUUGUCAGAGGUGAAAUUCUUGGAUUUAUUGAAGACAAACUACUGCGAAAGCAUUCGCCAAGGAUGUUUUCAUUAAUCAGUGAACGAAAGUUAGGGGAUCGAAGACGAUCAGAUACCGUCGUAGUCUUAACCAUAAACUAUGCCGACUAGGAUCGGANNNNNNNNNNNNNNNNNNNNNNNNNNNNNNNNNNNNNNNNNNNNNNNNNNACUUAAAGAAAUUGACGGAAGGGCACCACCAGGCGUAAACGUAACCGUUUCUUAAAAAAGCUGCAGUUAACUCUGCGCCUAAAAGCAGCCCGAAAGGGUCCGGUGGUGUGUCGUUAAAUGCUAGUCCUUAAGGAUAUUCUUUAAGGGCAACACCCUCAAAUUGCGGGAAACUCCUAAAGCCCAAACUACCAAGUGGUCUGCCGAAAGGUGAUCAUGGCCGGGGUAAUGACCCAGGGUACGGUAAAAACGUUUGGGAUGUCGACAAUGGACGAUCCGCAGCCAAACGCCCUCCACUCUCGACGAGAGCGGGCGUAGGUUCAGAGACUAAAUGGGGGUGGGUUUGGCUCUUCGUACAGGAGGAACGCUCCAAGCUUAAGAUAUAGUCCAAUCCCCGGGGAGACCUGGGGUCCUGACUUACCAUAGUAGGCCCAAUCUCAUGGGAGCCUGCGGCUUAAUUUGACUCAACACGGGGAAACUCACCAGGUUAACGUCUGGGCCUGGAAAAGCAGUGUGGCGGAUUGCCAUUCUGCUAGUACACAGUCAUCAUCCAUGCGAGGGAGUCCCUCAAUUUCGGGCAUGGAACGAUAUCCCUUAAGGGAAUCGUCGACUGGUGCGACACCAGCUGGUACAGGGGACGCCGCCUAUGGCUUUUCGCCACGGCCGAUCCUGUGGUGAGUCAGAGUAACGAUCUGACCAUCGCAACGCGCGCAAAGCGGUGGGUGGGCCACGGAUGUGGUCUACUUAAGGUACGUGCUAAUCCCACGGGAUGGAAAACCGUGGCUCCAACAGGGAGGCCCGAAUGCUUAACUGUUGGGGGCAGCUUUUGCUGUGUGUGGAGAAGACGUUUGAUAUUGGAGUUUCAAUAUCAACGUCUUCUUGGCUUUAAUGCCAGACAUGCUUAGGAUUGACAGAUUGAUAGCUCUUUCUUGAUUGUAUGGGUGGUGGUGCAUGGCCGUUCUUAGUUGGUGGAGUGAUUUGUCUGCUUAAUUGCGAUAACGAACGAGACCUUGACCUGCUAAAUAGCCAGGUUGACUUUUGUCGGCCGCCGGCUUCUUAGAGGGACUUUUGGCUCAAGCCAAUGGAAGUACGAGGCAAUAACAGGUCUGUGAUGCCCUUAGAUGUUCUGGGCCGCACGCGCGCUACACUGACAGAGCCAGCGAGUACAUCACCUUGGCCGAAAGGUCUGGGUAAUCUUGUUAAACUCUGUCGUGCUGGGGAUAGAGCAUUGCAAUUAUUGCUCUUCAACGAGGAAUGCCUAGUAAGCGCAAGUCAUCAGCUUGCGUUGAUUACGUCCCUGCCCUUUGUACACACCGCCCGUCGCUACUACCGAUUGAAUGGCUCAGUGAGGCCUUGGGACUGGCUCAGAGAGGUCGGCAACGACCACUCAGAGCCGGAAACUUGGUCAAACUUGGUCAUUUAGAGGAAGUAAAAGUCGUAACAAGGUUUCUGAUCCUUCUGUUGGUGAACGCCAUUCAGGAAGCCUUUGCCGCCCGAAAGGGUGUGCGUACCGCGACUAUAAACAAUGCAAGUGCGCCUAAGGGCAAGUUGCGAAUAACGUUUCGUGGCAACGCUGUCAAAUUGCGGCGAGUCUCCUAAAGACUGUGUGACCAAGCCAUCUCCGAAAGGGGGUGGUGGCCGAGCUAAUAGCCCUGGGUAUGGUAACACUACACAGUAUGAUCAGCUUUCUGCGCUCUCGGGCGGAGGAGGUUGUGAAAUGGGUAAGCACGCAGCCAAGUCCUACGGCUCGCUUCGGCAGGCUAUGGAUGCAGUUCACAGGCCAAACGGCAGCGGGUGCGAUCCAGAGCUGAUCGCGCUCAAGAUAUGGUCGGUCCUGCUGGGAAACCAGCGGGGAGUUCACUCAUAAUGUUACAACGUUCCGUAGGUGAACCUGCGGAAGGAUCAUUA
rnacentral:rRNA from 1 species